GUGGCGCUCGCACGCACACAUAUAAUAUCAAAGAUAUGAGUUGGCAACAGCACUAAAUUUCAAGGAAACUUCAGAUUUUCUGCAUAUGACAAAUUAGACUAUUCCAAAGAAUAAAAACAUGGCUUUAAAGUUAAACUACAAAGCAAUUGACUCCUUUCAAAAAAAAAAAAAAAAAAACAAAGCAAUUGACUAUCCAGACCUCCCUUCAGGCUAUAAAAUGGUGCCAAGAUUACUACUACAUCCAUAUCUAAUAAGAUCAAGAGAUCAAUUAGGAAAUCUCUGAUAAAAAAUGGUUAGAGAUUUUGGUUCUCUAGACGCUGCUGCCCAUGCACAUGAUGAAUUGGGUGUUGCGUUGAAGAGCUCGAGUGGACUACUUUUGGUGGGUAUGAUCAUCAUUUCUCUCUCAAUUAUAUCAAUGGUCAUCUUUGCUUGUGGCGAUGAUAACCCUCCCAGAAGAAGAAAAGCAUCAGGUGGAGGUUGGGUUGGAGUAGUUGCUGCUUUUGGAGGAGCUGCAACUUGUGGAGGUGGAGGUGGAGGUGGAGGCGGAGGUUGUGGAGGUGGAGGUGGAGGCGGAGGUUGUGGAGGUGGAGGUGGAGGCGGAGGUUGUGGAGGUGGAGGCGGGUGUUAAUUAAGAAAGAUUGUAGGUGGUGAUAUUGAGUUGGAAGAAAGAUAGAGGAUGAUGGUGAAGAAGCUUUCGGCAAACAUGCAAACCACACAUGCUUUGGCAGCCAUUCACACGAUGCAACCAUACAUGGACAGCAAGUGCAGAGCAACAUGUAAUACACAUGCAAGACCACAGCUGGCAGAUGCCUCAUUCGGACAGCUUCAUUCGGACCAGCCACUCACACCAUGCAGUGGACACAUGCAGGAAAGCAACACAUGCACACAUGCUCACAUGCAGCACUCACACCAUGCAUCACUCACACGCAGAUCACUCGGAAGCUGCUGCAGCUCACACAUGCAUGACAGCAGGGACAUCAUUCGGACACAUGCAGGAGCCACGGCUGGAGAGUGCUAUGUUAGCUUUUACUUUUUCGUGGAGGUGGGGGAGGACUUUUCUUGGCAGGCUGGCAUUUUAGACUUCACGGAAAGAGGAGAAGAAAAUUAUUGGAUGAUUUUCUUUUUCGUUUGAGUGGAGAGUAAGUACAGAAUUUUCAACUAAGACAUACACGAAAUGAAGGAAAAUAAGCAAGAAGAAGAGUCAACAUUUUCGGAAAGCAAUUGAUGUGGAGCUGGAAUUGGAAUUAGCUGAAGGGGUAGGCAGCAGCAGAAUUGGUGGGGAAUUGAGAGAGGGAGAGACGUGUGAAGAACAUGAGCAAGUAAAAGAAAUAAAAAGCAAGACAAAGCCAGCCGAAAUGAAGAUGGGAGGCACAUUUCAACAACCAACAACCAAAACGGUGAGGUAGAAAAGAGCAGCCGAGAUGAAAGUGAAAGAGAAAGAAAUAAGAAAGGAAAGAAAUAGCUGGAGUGAACGUGAAAUUGAUUGCUAGUGGGGCUUUUAAUUAUUCAAUGCAUGUGAGAGGAACCGGUGGCAAGAUUGGAGAAAUUAAAUAAUUCUUGAAGGAGUGAUGUGUGGGGCACAGCCGAAGGAGUUGUUAGCUGAACUCAUUAAAGGAAAGAGCAGCCGAGAAGAUUGAAAAGUAGCUGAAAGUGAAAGAAGGGAAUUGUUAGCUGAACGUGGGCCCUCAUUAAAGAAAUUGGAAGCAGCAGGCAGCACGAUGGACGGAAGAGAGGGGCGGCUGGUGAUAUUGCAGCUGGUGAUAUUUUCUUCUUGCUUUGCUUUCAUACAGCUGGACGCAGCAGGGGACUUUUCCGUUUGACUAAAGAAUUUUAUUUGAUCUACUCUCUCUUUCGUUUUAGUUUAAAAGCAGCUGGGUUUUUGGUUUUCCAUAAUUUUUAUUUUUACUUUCUCUUAUUUUCCGAACAGAACAAGAGUUGGAUAGCUUAGCUUAAAGUUUUCUUUCAUGCUUUUCGUUCAGACAUAGAAGAAGCACGGCAGUUGCAGUUUCAGUUCUUUACUUAUUUUCUUUUCUGUUUAGAAGAAGCAGUUUUCAGUUUUAGAGUUCAGUUUUUGUUUACUUGUUUCACUUUCAUUUAGAAACUAGCAGCAGCAGCACGUUAGUUUUAGUUUUUUUAUUUAUUGUAUUGCUUUUACUUUGAGACCUCAUGAACUAGGCGGUUGGAAUUUAUUUUCUUGUAUUCAAUUUUGUUUAGUUCAGUUCUAUAGUUUUACUUCUCA